GAAAAGGCUGCGAAAAACUCGCAGUACCACGAUCCUGUCAGGCUGUUGUGAGGAAACGUGUCACGACUACUACUGGAGGAAAAGAUCCCCCUCUCUUACUGAAGCAAAGCCGAUGAUGAGUCUGGAGAUCUGUAUAAUGAAUG